rnacentral:lncRNA from 1 species
AAAAAAAUAAUAAUAAUUCUUUGUUUUAUUUUAAUUUCCCUUUAUGAAAUGGUUUUAUUUUCUAGCUGCUGUUACAGUCAUGAGGACUGAAAAAUUUUGAAUUCCUGUAAUAUGAAAGCUCAAAUUCCCAUCUAAUCACUUGUUUCCCAGAGCCAGACCAACUUUCGGGAGACGAUCAAAGAACUGCUGGAGAGGGACCUGAGUGCCAGACACAGAGGACAAUGCCUGGGUCUAUAUUGCUCUAUCUGAUAAUAACCAGAUUAUAGCUCCACAAUCCCAACAAAGAGACACAAGCAGUAUGAAGAAAGAGGAAGAUUCUUUCUCUGCUGAAGGACUGAAUGCACAAUCAUCUGCAAGCUUUGUAUAGCUGCCUUCCCUAAUCCCAGAGUCAAGCUAGCCUUCUGUUGGAUAGGAACACAUACACUUGAAGGAGUCCAACCCAAAGAGAAAUACCCAAAAGGAUGAACAGGAAUCCACUUUUUCUGAUGUCUCUGUCUGUCAGCAAACUGCAGAAGCACACAGUUUUCCAUCCUCACGGACGAAGAGCAGAAGAUUUAUCUGGAGAACGUCCGUGGGAAUAAACAUGUUUUGUCCCUUCUCAGACAAAUGACACAGGUCGUCUGAAGACCUGCUAUUUAUGAACUCCAAGCCUAGCAGAGGUGAGUGGCUGUGUCUCUAAAUAUCAUGUUUCCUAUAUUUAAAUAGGAAAG